GACGAGGGAUCCUAGCGUUGUUCGGAAUCAUUGGGCGUAAAGAGGGCGUAGGUGGCUUGGUAAGUCAGGUGUGAAAGCCCAGGGCUCAACCCUGGAAGUGCAUUUGAUACUGCUAAGCUUGAGUGUUGGAGAGGUUAUCGGAAUACCUGGUGUAGUGGUGAAAUACGUAGAUAUCGUAAGGAAGACCAGUGGCGAAGGCGGGUCUCUGGACAGUUCCUGACGCUGAGGCACGAAGGUCAGGGGAGCAAACGGG
rnacentral:rRNA from 1 species